rnacentral:rRNA from 1 species
GUCAGGCCUAACACAUGCAAGUCGAGCGAGAAGCGUAUCUUCGGGUACGUGGAGAGCGGCGGACGGGUGAGUAACGCGUGGGAACAUGCCCUAUGAUGGGGGAUAACGGCUGGAAACGGCCGCUAAUACCGCAUAAUCCCGGAUUUAUUCGGGGAAAGAUUUAUCGCCAUUGGAUUGGCCCGCGUUGGAUUAGCUAGUUGGUGGGGUAACGGCUUACCAAGGCAACGAUCCAUAGCUGGUCUGAGAGGAUGAUCAGCCACACUGGGACUGAGACACGGCCCAGACUCCUACGGGAGGCAGCAGUGGGGAAUAUUGGACAAUGGGCGCAAGCCUGAUCCAGCCAUGCCGCGUGAGUGAAGAAGGCCUUAGGGUUGUAAAACUCUUUCACCGGUGAAGAUAAUGACGGUAGCCGGAGAAGAAGCCCCGGCUAACUCCGUGCCAGCAGCCGCGGUAAUACGGAGGGGGCUAGCGUUGUUCGGAAUCACUGGGCGUAAAGCGCGCGUAGGCGGUUUAUCAAGUUGGGCGUGAAAGCCCGGGGCUCAACCCCGGAACUGCGCUCAAAACUGGUUGACUAGAGUCCGAGAGAGGGUGGUGGAAUUCCCAGUGUAGAGGUGAAAUUCGUAGAUAUUGGGAAGAACACCGGUGGCGAA